rnacentral:rRNA from 1 species
UACAGAGGUCUCAAGCGUUGUUCGGAUUCAUUGGGCGUAAAGGGUGCGUAGGUGGCGCGGUAAGUCGGGUGUGAAAUUUCGGAGCUUAACUCCGAAACUGCAUUCGAUACUGCCGUGCUUUGAGGACUGGAGAGGAGACUGGAAAUUUACGGUGUAGCAGUGAAAUGCGUAGAUAUCGUAAGGGAAGACCAGCGGCGAAGGCGGGUCUCUGGACAGUUCCUGACACUGAGGCACGAAGGCCAGGGGAGCAAACGGG